rnacentral:tRNA from 1 species
GCGCCGAUGGUUUAGCGGUAAAAUCCGUCGUUGCCAAGACCCGCUAGUCCUCGUUCGGACAAGCUUGUACUCGAAUCGACGGGCCCCCGGUUCGACUCCGGGUCGGCGCA